rnacentral:rRNA from 1 species
ACGUAGGAGACAAACGUUAUCCGGAGUUACUGGGCGUAAAGGGCGUGUAGGUGGUUUUGUAAGUCUGGCGUGAAAUUUUUCGGCUUAACCGGGAAAGGUCGUCGGAUACUGCAGGACUAGAGGACGGUAGAGGCGUGUGGAAUUCCGGGUGUAGUGGUGAAAUGCGUAGAUAUCGAGAGGAACACCAGAGGUGAAGACGGGUUGCUGGGCUGACACUGACGCUGAAGCGCGAAAGCCAGGGGAGCAAACGGGA